rnacentral:rRNA from 1 species
GUGGGGAAUAUUGCACAAUGGAGGAAACUCUGAUGCAGCGAUGCCGCGUGAGGGAAGAAGGUUUUAGGAUUGUAAACCUCUGUCUUUGGGGACGAAAAAUGACGGUACCCAAGGAGGAAGCUCCGGCUAACUACGUGCCAGCAGCCGCGGUAAUACGUAGGGAGCGAGCGUUGUCCGGAAUUACUGGGUGUAAAGGGAGCGUAGGCGGGAUCGCAAGUCAGAUGUGAAAACUAUGGGCUUAACCCAUAAACUGCAUUUGAAACUGUGGUUCUUGAGUGAAGUAGAGGUAAGCGGAAUUCCUAGUGUAGCGGUGAAAUGCGUAGAUAUUAGGAGGAACAUCAGUGGCGAAGGCGGCUUACUGGGCUUUAAUUGACGCUGAGGCUCGAAAGCGUGGGGAGCAAACAGGAUUAGAAACCCGGGUAGUCC